UCCAAGUAAUUCCGGUUGAAUGUUUCUCACUAGUUUCCUAUCCUUGAAUUGAACUGAUUGAGCCAAUUUGCAUGAUUUGAGAUUGAAUGUAUGAACCCUGAUUUCUCAAAGUUGGCUGUUUUCAAAAUUGAUUGUGCUAUCUUGAAAUUGGGUAUAGUAGGAGCAUUAUGGUAUAAUUUCCCCCCUUAUUGACUAAGUUUUGUUGAUGAAAUGAUGAUUUUUGGUAGACGAUUUUGGGGUAUUUUUUUGAAAUAGUCAUAUUGAUUGAAAUUGAGCAUUACGACUAAAUUGGGAUUUGUGAUUGAUGAUUAGAGAUGGAUUAUGACAUGUUAUUGUGUUGAUUUGCAAUGAGGAAUAGUGAUUCGCCAUUUGUGUCUUGACAUUGUGAUAUGUGAUGCAUUGAAGUAGUUUGUGAUAUACAGUUCAUACAUAUCAAGUGUGGGGUGGAUAUAUUCUGCUUGUGAUAUAAAUUUUUGGUUGGUGUAGGAAGUGUAGACUUCAGCUCACAUGCGUUUCCACAUCGGGGUUCCACUAGUAGAACCCAACCACUUUCCCCGGAUACACCAUAUUCAAGCUCCUCUCCUUCAAACGAUAAGGAAGAAACUCUUUAUGCUCACGUUCCCCGACUAGAGGAUGUGGAAAAUGUGCACCAGUACAUCACAGCAUUAUCCCAUCUGCUCGCCCUUAAUUUUUUAGAGCUCCUUCUAUUUCAAGAAUUGCAAAGAAUUCAUGGUAGGAUUUGUAUCUCCUAUCGUUUAGGGGGUAGUAGUUCAACGAGACCCUUGACAAACUCCAUGUUUCUCUGGGAUGUCAUACGGACCCCGCCACACUCUCUCGGCCAUACAAGCUAGGCGAUAAAGACCCCAUCCGGUUACGAGCUAGGCCAUACGGACCCCGAAACUAUCCGGGACAAGGUCCGACCCUUGUGGCUAGGCCUGGCAAUUCGGUCGAAACCGGUUACUCGAUUUCAAUUUCAAUUUUGACCGAAUUUGAGUUCGGACAAAACUGUCACCGACUUCGGUUUUGAAUUCAAUUCGGUUUUCCAAAUUCGAAUUCAAUUCAAAAAAGGUUACCUGACCUAACCGAUUUCCAUAUCGAUUUAGAGAAAAAGGAGAUUGAAGGUUUGGAUGUGCUUCAGAUCUGUGGAGUAGAUGACUCGAUUCAUGCUCAGGAAUAAUGGCUUGUGGAGAUAACUGGAUAUCUGGAUGCAGACCUGUAAAAAUUAAAAUCGAAACACAACAGCUACAAUCACGAUAGAGAGCAACAUGAUAGUGGAGACGGCUGUCUAAAAUCUGAAGCCCCAAUUGAAGAGAACAUCACGGCGGUGGAGGCAGCUGCUAGGUUGGAUUUGGUAAGAUUUGUUGUUGGGUACUGGGGAAAGAAGCAAGGGUUGGGACAAAGCCCUUUUCAAGAGUGAGCAUCGGCGGCACCUCAUCGGUUGUUAAGGGGAAGAAAAUACGAUUUGAGAUGAGGGAAAAUGAAAUUUAAAAUCAGGAAUGGGAAUAGAUAAGGAAAGACUAGCAAUCAAGGGGAAGGAAAGAAGAUUUUGAGAUGAGAAAAGGAAGGUGUCAGCUGUCUCAAGGACGAGGCAUGAAGAAUUAAGAACUGGAAAGGGAAAGAAGGAAGAAUGGUGGGAAAUUUUUAUUUUUAG
rnacentral:lncRNA from 1 species